AUCACCCCCGCCCACCCUAAAGAGCCACCGGCCUUUGUUCCCGCGGUAUCUUGAGAGGGAAGACUGGAAGCACAGGGGGCUGGGUCGGGGAGGCAUGGCGUCAUUGGAACGGACGGAAGGAUGUCCUCACGGCCCCUUCUGAAGUCUUGGAAGUCAGAAAUGGAAACAGAGAAGGAAAGGCAGGGCCCUGCUGCCUGAACACCUCUCCACUUCUUCCUGCUGAAAUAGCCUCUGGUGGCACCGUGCUUGCAGUUCACAUUUGCUACCACUGCCCCGGGGGCUCCCUGUUCUCCACCACCUCCCCCACCCCCAUCCCCAGGGGUGGGUGGCCUGGGUCUCUGCAGCCUGUGCUCAGCAAAGGACCCAGGGCCAGCCCUGCUGGUGUCAGAGUCAGGGAGCUGGAUGCUCCUAGCCUCCCUCCGGUGGCUGUCCAGGGUGCCUGGCAGAAGCAGCUGGAAGGCUUUUCUCUGGAGACUCUGCUUUUCUGCUCAUCCUAGACUUCUGAGGUGGGUAAUGGGGUGGGAGGGGGAGCCAGGGAGAAUGCAGGGCCCUUGAAAGGGUGGCCCCCUGGAACUCACAGGGAUUAGACCCCCUCUAAAAUGCAGCACCCCAUGAGGAGGCAACUUUUUUGACGAGACUGUGUCCUCAUCUAUUUAAGUCAUAUGUAUUAUUUUACUUUAUUAUAAAUAUCAUUUUGGGGGCUACAAAUCUUAAAAGCAUGGAAAAGCAAAAUAAAAUAAAAGCUACCUGUAACCCCACCCAGAGCUGACUUUGUCAGCAUUUUUGCGCAGCUACUUCCAGGCCCAUGUUGCGUGAUUUUUAAAAAAUACAGAUUUAAGAGUUCUUGUAGUGGUUCCGCGGUAAUGAACCUGACUAGUAUCCAUAAGGACCCAGGUUUGAUCCCUGGCCUCGCUCAGUGGGUAAGGAUCCAGCAUUGCCGCUAGCCGUGGUGUAGAUCACAGAUGAGACUCGGAUCCUGCAUUGCUGUGACUGAAGUGUAGGCAGCAGCUGCAGCUCUGAUUCGACCCCUAGCCUGGGAACCUCCCUGUGCCGUGGUACAGCCCUGAAAAGACACACACACACACACACACACACACACACACACACACACACACACAACAUACAGAUUUAGAGUCACGCGGCAUAGAGACAGUAAAGUGUGCUGGUUGGAAUUUGGGGUCUAGACUAAACUGCCCAUGUUCAAAUCCAUACUCCAUCAUUAGCCGCAAGUUACAUCAAUUUUCCCAAACCCUGGUCUCACAUCUCAAACCAAUAACAACAGCAGUAAUAAUAUGGCAGUCCCUGGGAUUGAAUGGAAUAUUAUAUAUAAAGGGUCCCAGUGCAUGGUAGCUGCUCAGUAAUUAUUGGCUAUUAGUGUUUCUAUUUUGUAUCCUGUCUUUUCAUCUCAUAUAUAGGACAUCAACAUCUCUGCAUGUCAUUAAUAUUCUCUAUAACAUGAUUGAAUGGCUGUAUUCUUGCCAUAUGUUAUUCACCAACUUUUCCCUUUAAACAUCUAUUAUAAAUAACACUGCUGUGAGCAUCCAUCUGCAUUCUAAGAGGGUAUAAGCUUGAGUCUGAGUUAUUCUCACACAAGUUUCUUUUUGCAUAAGUUAAUUUGCAUGGAGAUAAUAAACUUGGAGGAUAUGUAUGCUUAUGAACUUGAAGGAGAUAUAGAAGAUUUCUAAUCCCUCUAGUUUUGCCUUUUCUGGACUAUCAAGUGAAUGGAAUUAUACAGUAUGCACCAUUUUGUGCCUGGCUUUUCACUUUGCAUAGCUCUUUUGAGAUCCACUCAGGUAUCAAUACUGUGCGCAUCAAAUCCUGCAUUUCUUUCUAUUGCUGCGCAGUAUUCAUUCUAUUGAUAUAAGGUAAUUUGCUUAUCCAUUUACUAGUUGAUAGACUUUUGGAUUAUUUCCAAUUUGGGCGUAUUAAAAACGAAACUCCUAAAAUUUUAUGUACCAUUCAUUGGGAUGACAUGUGUUUUCAUUGUUCUUGGGUAAAUUCCAAGAAAUGGAAUUUCUGAGUCAUGCGUGACAGUAAAUGACUCUUUAACUUUAAAAGAAGAUGACAAACUGUCUUUCUCAGAGGCUGUACUAUUUUUUACUUCCACCAGCGAUGUUUGAGACUCCCAAUUAACCAUAUUCCUCAUCAGCACUUGGUAAUACCGGUUUUUAACAUUUUAGCCACUUUUGGAGUUCCUGUCAUGGCCCAGUGGAAAUGAACCGAGCAGAAACCAUGAGGUUGCAGGUUUGAUCUCUGGCCUCACUCAGUGAGUUAACAAUCCGGCGUUGCUGUGAGCUGUGGUGUAGGUCACAGACGCAGCUCGGAUCUGGCGUGUCUGUGGCUGUGGUCUAGGCUGGCAGCUGUAGCUCUGAUUGGACCCCUAGCCUGGGAACCUCCAUAUGCUGCGGGUGCGGUGCCCCCCCCCCAAAUUUUUUAGCCACUUUAAUAGGGGUGAAGUGGUGUCACAUUGUGGUUUAAUUUACAUUUUCCUGACUGUCAGUGAUGUUGAACGUCUUUUCCUGUGCUUAUUUGCUAUCCAUAUAUGUUCUUUGUUUAAGUGUUGAAAUUAUUCGUACAUUUUUAAUUGGGUUCAUGUUUUCCUAUUAAGUUAUAAGGAUUCCUCAUAUAGUCUAGAUACAGUUCUAAGAGGAUAUAAGCUUGAGUCUGAGUUGUUCUCACAGAAGUUUAUUUUUGCAUAAGUUAAUUUGCAAAUAUUUUCUCACAGCCUGUAUCCUAUCUUUUCAUUUUCCUAACUGUGCCUUUUGAAGAGCAUAUUUUUUUAAAUUAGAUAAAGCUGAAUUUAUAGAUUUUUUCUUUUACGAAUUGUGCAUUUUAGGUCAUGGCUAAAAAAACCUUGCUCAACCCAAAGUUACAAAGAUUUCCCCCCAAAUUUUUUUAGAAAUUUUAGAAAUUUUACAUUUUUAGAAUUUACAUUUAGGUCUAUGAUACAUUUUGAGUUAAUUUUUAUAUGGAGUGGGGUAUGGAUCGAAGAUAAUUUUUUUGCAUAUAGAAGUCUAAUUGUUUCAGCACAAUUUGUUGAAAAGGAUAUCCUUUUUUCUAAUGAAUAGUGUUUAAGCCUUUGUCAGUUAACCCUGUUUGUGAGGAUGUAUUUCUUGACUCUCUUUGUUCUGUUGACCUAGGUGUCUAUCUUCUUACCAAUAUCAUUGUCUUGAUUAUUGCAGCUUUAAGUCUUAAAAUCAGAUAGUAUGAGUCUUUCAACUUCCUUUCUCAAAUAAUUUUGGCCAUUCUAGCUCCUUUGCUUUCCCAUAUACAGGCAUACUUCAGAGAUAUUGUAGAUUUGGCUCCAGAGCACUGCAAUAAAGCGAAUAUCACAAAAAGCAAGUCACAUGAACUUUUUGGUUUCUUGGUGCAUUACAAAAGUUAUGUUUAUACUAUAUUGGAGUCUUUUCAGUAUGCAACGACACUAUGUCUAAAAAACAAUGUACAUAUUUUUAUUUUAAAAUACUUUAUUGCUAAAGUAUGUCAAUCAUUAUCUGAGCCUUCAGCGAGUGGUUAUCUUUUUGAUUGUGGAGGGCCUUGCCUUGAUGUCGUUGGCUGCUGACUGCUCAGGGUGGCGGUUGCUGAAGGAUGGAGUGGCUGUGGCAAGUUUUUAAAAUAAGACAACCAUGAAAUUUGCUGCAUGGAUUGACCCUUCCUAUUAUGAAUGUUUUUCUGUAGUAUGCAAUGCUGUUUGAUAGCAUUUUACUCAUAGUAGAACUUCUUUCAAAAUGGGAGUCUAUCCUCUGAAACCCUGCUACUGCUGUAUCAGCUAAAUCUACAUAAUAUUCUAAAUCCUUUGCUGUCAUUUCAACAAUCUUCACAGCAUCUUCACCAAGAGUAGCUUCCAUUUGAAGAAAUGACUUUCUUUGCUCAUCCAUAAGAAGUAACUCUUCAUCCAUUAAAACUUUAUCAUGCGACUACAACAAUUCGGUCACAUCUUCAGGCUUCACAUCUCAUUCUAGCUCUCUUGCUAUUUCUACCACAUCUGUAGUUAUUUCCUCCCCUUAAGUCAUCCAUGAGGAUUAGAAUCAACUUCUUGAAAAUUCCUGGUAAUGUUGGUAUUUUUAUCUCUUCCCAUGAAUCACAGAUGUUCUUAAAGACAUCUAGAAUGAUGAACACUUUCCAGAAGGCUUUCAAUGUACUCUGCCUACAUCCAUCUGAGAAAUCACUAUCUAUGGCAGCUUUAGCCUUAUGAAAUAGUUCUUUUUUUUUUUUUUUUUUUUUUUUUUUUGUCUUUUUGCCAUUUCUUGAGCCGCU
rnacentral:lncRNA from 9 species